GAUCCACCACUGAAUGUGUUUCCACAGAAAUUUAGAAACAGCUGGAAAUAAUGAUGAUAUUUUAUGGGCCUUAAGGACAACUGAGGUUAAUACUGUUCCUCAAAAUGGCUACAAUA
rnacentral:snoRNA from 1 species